rnacentral:tRNA from 2 species
AAUCAAUGAGCUUGUAAAAGCAUAUAUUUUGAAAAUAUAAUAAAGAAAAUAAAUUUUCUAUUGAUUU